rnacentral:rRNA from 1 species
CCUACGGGUGACAGCAGUGAGGAAUAUUGGUCAAUGGACGAGAGUCUGAACCAGCCAAGCAGCGUGAAGGAUGACUGCCCUAUGGGUUGUAAACUUCUUUUAUAUGGGAAUAAAACAGGGUAUGCAUACCCUCCUGUAUGUACCAUAUGAAUAAGGAUCGGCUAACUCCGUGCCAGCAGCCGCGGUAAUACGGAGGAUCCGAGCGUUAUCCGGAUUUAUUGGGUUUAAAGGGAGCGUAGGUGGGUUGUUAAGUCAGUUGUGAAAGUUUGCGGCUCAACCGUAAAAUUGCAGUUGAAACUGGCAGGCUUGAGUGCAGUAGAGGUAGGCGGAAUUCGUGGUGUAGCGGUGAAAUGCUUAGAUAUCACGAAGAACUCCGAUUGCGAAGGCAGCUCACUGGACUGCAACUGACACUGAUGCUCGAAAGUGUGGGGAGCAAACAGGAUUAGAUACCCCAGUAGUC